UACGUAGGUGGCGAGCGUUGUCCGGAUUUAUUGGGCGUAAAGCGCGCGCAGGCGGUCGCGUAAGUCUGCUGUGAAAUCUCCCUGGCUCAACCGGGAGGGGGCGGCGGAGACUGCGGGACUGGAGGGACCUAGGAGGCCGGUGGAAUUCCCGGUGUAGCGGUGAAAUGCGGCAGAUAUCGGGAAGAACACCCGUGGCGAAGGCGGGCACUCUGGGACGGUACUGGACGCGUG
rnacentral:rRNA from 1 species